GGACUACACGGGUUUCUAAUCCCGUUCGCUCCCCUGGCUUUCGCCCAUCAGCGUCAGGUACUGGCCAGGAGACUGCCUUCGCCUUCGGUGUUCCUCCGGAUAUCUACGCAUUUCACCACUCCACCCGGAAUUCCGUCUCCCUCUCCAGUCCUCAAGUCAACCCGUUUUCUCACAACGCGCUUUCCCAGUUAAGCCGGGAACUGUCACGCCGAACGCGGCUGACCGCCUGCGGGCGCUUUACGCCCAGUAACUCCGGACAACGCUCGCCCCCUACGUAUUACCGCGGCUGCUGGCAC
rnacentral:rRNA from 1 species